rnacentral:rRNA from 1 species
GACGAACGCUGGCGGCGUGCUUAACACAUGCAAGUCGAACGGUGAACUCCGCUUGCGGGGGGAUCAGUGGCGAACGGGUGAGUAACACGUGGGCAACCUGCCCUCAGCUCUGGGAUAACUCCAAGAAAUUGGGGCUAAUACCGGAUAUGACCGCUGACCGCAUGGUCUGGUGGUGGAAAGAUUUAUCGGCUGGGGAUGGGCCCGCGGCCUAUCAGCUUGUUGGUGGGGUAGUGGCCUACCAAGGCGACGACGGGUAGCCGGCCCGGGAGGGUGACCGGCCACCCGGGGACUGAGACAGGGCGCAGAGUGCUACGGGGGGCAACAGGGGGGAAUAUGACGCAAUGGGCGAAAGCCUGACGAAGCGACGCCGGGUGGGGGAUGACGGCCUUCGGGUUGUAAACCUCUGUCAGCAGGGACGAAGCGAAAGUGACGGUACCUGCAGAAGAAGCACCGGCCAACUACGUG